CUCUCUGGCAUCAAAGGCAGUGUAUCUCCUAACACUGAAGCUGUGGAGGGAAAAAACUGAGAACUUCAGGGAACUUCCGUGUGUUCUAAAGUAUAGAAAGGAACACACGUAAUUUGAAAGCUAAAAGGAAUUUAUGAAGAAACUGAGGCUUGCAAAUUUGAGAGGUGGUAGAGUACGGAUUUGUACCUAAAUCUAGCUGGCUCGAAAGUUCUACAUAGUUGUUUCCCAUUUUUCAAAGUGAAAAGAAGAAAGAGGUUUCUAUUUUUAAGAAGUAGAGGCAGAAUAAAGACUUUUUAAAGAUGUGCAAAGUCAGAAAGAAUUCAUUAUCAACCUACCUAUACUACAAGAAACGUUAAAGGAUAUCUUUCAGGCAGAAGGAAAUGAUAUAAGAUGGAAAUCUCGAUCUACAUAAAAGAAUGAAGAGAACAGGGAAUGGGUAGAGAGAAGAUAGAAUUGGACCCAUACAGACCCGUCUUCAUAUCUUGUUUCUGCUAUUUCCUGGCUGUGGGACCUUAGAGUUUGGAGGAGGAUCCAAGGAAAUAAUGUAUGAAAAGCACCUCACAAAGCCUGAUCCAUGGUAGAUACUGAAUGCAGGUUAUUCACCAUCUUUUCCCCAAAUAUACAUGAAAAACUCAAGGAAUGUAUAGCUGCAUGAAGACAUACAAUGAACAUGCAAUUAGAACUCUAAUGCAAGCAUGGCUUGAGAGUGUAGGUGGCAGCUGAAUGUAUCUGUGAAUUCAAAGGCCAAGGUAUUGACAAUGGGUGGAAAGAAACAUCAUGAGCCUGGUGGGUCAACCAGAUGGUCUCAGGCACGAGGUGAAGGUGCAGGUUUGGUGGGAGGAUGAGGGCUUCCACCCUUCCAGUUGGCUCCCCACUGUCUUGCCAUAGUUGCCUCACUGAGCGCCAAAUAACAGAGUGUGAAUGAUGGGAGUUCUCAAGUUUCCCUGCCCAGCUUUGGCCAACCAAACUACAGACCCCUCCAGCACAGCAAUGCCCAAGCUUAGGGAACAUGACUGACCCAGUUGAAAUCCAGAAACAGGAUGAAGUUAAAGUUCUGGUACAUCCAUAGCUGAGAUUUUGUGUCAUCAGAUACAUUUACUAUUCAACUCAUGGCCAGGUUGUCACAUGGGCAGCAGUUUAAGAUACUCAAUAAAGCCAAGUAUAAAGCUUGGUGCUGUCACCAGGUUGAUCUGCCUGAAUAAAUGUGGCUCAUGGAAAAUGAACUAUGGAAAAUGAUGGCUUUGGUCAGUUUUUCUUUCUUGUUUUACUUACCACCCAGUGAAACAAAAGUGUAAGAGAAAGAGCUUCUGGGAUAGCUUCUCACUAUAUGUAUGAGAGCCUGAGUGUGAACACAGGUCUAUGCUACUGUAAUGCCCAUGUUCAUUUUACAUAGCUACACUCUUCUCUGACUAUGUGAGUGUGUCAGAACUGAGUUAUGACAAGUGAUUGGAUGGGCUGAGAGGCAAAGGAUACAGUGAGCAGAAGAAACAGCACAUGUAUGACAAGGCCCUGAAUUGUUGCUGGAGUAUCAAGAUGAGAUACGUUUGCACAGAUCAUGUAAGGGAAGGCUUCUCAUAGAAGCAUCUGAAUGCUUUGAGAUAUGUAACUCAUCAUUUGUUCAUUUGGGGGGGGUAAUUCAACAGUUAUUUAUUGAGUGCCUUUUGUAUGCUGGGUAACGUUAUAAAAUUAGAAUUAGAAAUCACUAGAAACCUUUAUCAAAAUAUCACUGCUUCUUAUAUCUAGAACUUACUUGUCUCCUUUAAAAUAGACAUGUCUAUACAAUUUUGUCUAGUUGGCAAAACUAGCAGCAAAUGUUCCCUUAGCUGGCCUUUGAGUGAAAUAAACGAUGACUAUUUGUAAUAAAUUAAGAAGCAAGCACAAGGGAGAGUAAAGACAAGCAGAGAGAUAUUACAGGGUCUUUGGACUGGGGGAGAUAUUGUCUGUCAUAUGAUUCAGCCUGUGUAUUCUGCUGAAUUCCAGAAGUGAAGCGAACCUCCCAAGCUCUCUCAGUUACCUGUCUUGGCUCCUUUCAUUUUAUCCUCCCUACCAGGUCUUCCGUCAAUGUCUCAUUGUUUUUCACUUGGAUUAUUACAACAGCCUUCUAUCAUAUCUCCCCGCCUCCACACAGCAGCACAGGGAUCAUUUAGAAAAGCAAUUUCUUUAUUUUACUUUGCUCCUCAAAGCCAUUCAAUGUCUCCACAAUGCCUUGGGCCGUGCUUCUCAGACUGUGGCGUGUGCCUGGGUCCCAGACAGUACUCAAAGCCAUAGGAUAAACAUACUAUCACUUUAGAAUGCUAGUUUUUCUUGAUGGCUAGUAAUGAAAAAUAUUAUUUUAUAUUAAAACAAAUGAAUAUAUUAUAGCCAAGAUGAAAAAUUUGGAUGAGUUGAAAGAUUUCAAAAAAUUCACUUAGUUGUAAGCAGUUGAUGCCAGACCUUGGGGAAUGCAAAUUUAUUCUUUUUUUUUUUCGUUAGAGAUUAUUUCCAUGGGAAAAAUUUAUAAUGUUCUGGACCAUAGGAUAAAUUUCAAGUUACAUGCCAGUUUCUGCAGGAUCUGUUCAUGCCUGACUUGCCACUCUCUUCUCUUUAACGGUUCCCUUGAAACUCGCUUCUACUCGCCCACCUUCCCAUUCCACUUGAAAUAAUAGCAACUGGAGCCUCUGGGGUUUAGUCAAAAGCAAAAGCCAAAAAAAAAAAAAAAAAAAAAAGCAAAAGCCACUGUAGGUAUCUCAAACGGGAAUGAAUUUUAUACAGGAAAUUAGAAGAUUGCAAAGCUGUUGGAAGAACCAGGAAAACAAAGGCUAGGGGAACCACUGCCAGUGUUCAGGAAAUGAGGAAGUGCAGCAAUGGCAGGAAGCUCCGCUAGCUAGGGCUCUAGGCUGUCUGCAGCAGCAAAGUGAGCAAUUUGCAAGAGGAUGUCUGCAAAUUGCAGUCAAAGGGAAAAAUCUUAUGCCUGCCACCUGCCCCAAACCAAAAUAAUGGCUUUUGCUUCUCUUCUGCCUUUAAAAUAUUGCAUGUAUACUUCUAAUCCAGAAACUCUUGUGUUAUGGGCUGAACUGUGUCCCCCCUAAAUUCAUAUGUUUAGCUCUAACUCCCAGUACUUCAGAAUGUGACUGUAGUAUUUGGAGAUAGGGCCUUUAAAGAGACAUUAAAGUAGAAUGAGGUUAUGUGGGUGGACACUAAUCCAAUCUAACUAGUAUUCUUAUAAAAAGAGGAGAUUAGAAUACAGGCACAGAGGGAAGCCAAGUGAAGACAUGAAGACAAGGUGGCCAUCCACAAGCCCAGGAGAGAGGCUUCAGAAGAAACCAAUGCUGCCAACACCUUGAUCUUGGAUUUCUAGCCUCUAGAACUGUGAGCAAAUAAAUUUCUAUUGUUAAAGCCACCCGAUCUCUGGGACUUUGUUAUGGCAGCCCUAGCAAACUAAUACAUUCUGGGAAUAGGGAUUUUGCAGGAGAUAGCUGCUAGGCUUCCAAUACCCUUGUUACAAAGGGGAACAUAGAAGGGCAGAAAUGGUACUGAAUGGCCAAGAGACAAUCUGGCACUGCUGCCCUUGGCUGAACUCAUGCUAAGACCCAGUCAUGGAGCUAAGCACGUUGCACAUGUUAUCUCAUUUAAUUUAAUCCUCAUAUCAUCCACUAAUAGUGGGAACCUGGAUCUGACCACUGAGGUGGAUCUCUUAGUACACUAUCUGGUUGCAUAUGCACUUUCCUCUCUGGUCCACCCAGGGGGCAUUUACUGGUACUUUGCCCACUCCCCACCCAACACUAAUCCCCCCCUCGCCCCACAGAACACACCAUUUCCUCCUGUAUUCCCCAGAACCCAUAGCCUAUAUGGACUUCUUAUCCCAGUUCCUGUGCAGAUUCUGUGCACUUUUACAUCGAUGUGUUUGUCAUCUUCACUAAACUCUAGGUUUCUAAAGACCAGGGACCACAUCUUGUUUGGUUUUGCAUUUCUAGAGCCCAAUUCAGUGCCUGAUGAUAUGGUUUUUAUUCAAGAUGUGUUAGAAGAAGGUGGGAGGGGGGAUUAGAACCGAGGACUAGACCACAGUGCUUUCCCUGCACCACAGUGCCAUAAUCCUGUAAGAACAAUGCUAACUAAUCCAGAAAGGACAGGAAAGAGGAAUGCUUUUACAUACAUGCAUGAUGCACGCAUGCGUGACUUUUCUAGCCCUGAUGCUAGACCCUUUCCCUUAUAGAAAUUGGCCAGCAGUGUGGUGACUCACUAACCUUCUAAGUAGCUAAUCAAAUGUCUCAUUUGCUCAGUUGACAGAGAGAUAAGAGAGAAGUGCGGUGGGUCAGAGAAGAGGGGCCUUAGAGAGCUGAGAGGGAGGCCUCACAAAGCAGAUGACAUUUGUUUGAGCUUGAUCUUAAACCAUGAGCCAGUGUGCUAGGGUGGGUGGUGGGUUAUGGAUAUUCCAGAAAGGGGAAUAGCAUGGGCCAUGUCAAGAGACUUUGGCUUGUUCAGUAAAGAGUAAGUAGUUAGGGGUGUGUGUGUGUGUUAUGUGUACGUGUGUGUGCGUGUGGUGGGGGGUGUGGGAGUGUGCUGAUAGGAAUUGAAAAACCACAACAAACAUUCUUAUGUACAAGUAUUUUUUCAUAUUUCAGAUAGUCAGAGAAUGUUUAGAUCUGGGAACUCUUUAUAACAUCAAAAAUUGGAAAUGGCCAAUGCUAGGAGAAUGGACAUAUAAACUACAGUGUAUUUCCUCAAUAUGAUAUUAUAUAAUAACAUAAGCAUGCAACUCAAUAUAGGAUUACAAAUAAAAGCUUAUAAUAGCUUUUAAAGAAAAACUUCUUUUGAAUAAUCCUAAGUGAAACAGCAUGAUUUGGUGUGAUCCUAUGUACUUAAAAAAUAAAAUCAAAUCUUAAACGGGAAGGAAGGAAAUACUGUAGGCAGUGGUUAUCGUUGGGUGAUUUCCCUCCCUCACUCCUAUUGCUUAUUUUUUGCUCCUAUUUUAUUGAUAAUCAAGAUGAAUUUAUUUUAUAACGCACUUUUGAAAAAUUCAUGUCCUAUAUUAAAGAUUUUUGCUACCAAUUUAUUUCCUGUUCU